rnacentral:pre_miRNA from 1 species
GCCGAGAACAGAGAUUGUGUAGCUCAGCUGUAAGGAAUGUGGCAUGGCUCGAUGCUGUUUGAGCAUGUCAAGUUCAGCCUCGGACCAGGCAUCAUUCCUUUCAUCUCAGUUACACAUUUGACAUCCAGGA